AUACUUACCUGGCAGGGGAGAUACCAUGAUCAGGAAGGUGGUUUUCCCAGGGCGAGGCUUAUCCAUUGCACUCGGGAUGUGCUGACCCCUGCGAUUUCCCCAAAUGUGGGAAACUCGACUGCAUAAUUUGUGGUAGUGGGGGACUGCGUUCGCGCUUUCCCCUG
ensembl:snRNA U1 U1 spliceosomal RNA